rnacentral:rRNA from 1 species
CCUACGGGUGGCUGCAGUCGAGAAUCAUUCACAAUGGGGGAAACCCUGAUGGUGCGACGCCGCGUGGGGGAAUGAAGCUCUUCGGAUUGUAAACCCCUUUUAUGUGGGAGCAAAUUAAAAAGAUAGUACCACAAUAGGAAUAGACGGCUAACUCUGUGUCAGCAGCUGCGGUAAUACAGAGGUCUCAAGCGGUGUUCGGAAUCACUGGGCGUACAGCGUUCGUAGGCUGUUUCGUAAGUCGUGUGUGAAAGGCGCGGGCUCAACCCGCGGACGGCACAUGAUACUGGGCGACUAGAGUAAUGGGAGGGGAGGCGGAAUUCUUGGUGUAGCAGUGAAAUGCGUAGAUAUGGAGAAGAACCCUCGUGGCGAAGGCGGGUUGCUGGACAUUAACUGACGCUGAGGCACGAAGGCCAGGGGAGCGAAAGGGAUUAGAUACCCGUGUAGUC